GUAAGGAAUAUUGGUCAAUGGACGCAAGUCUGAACCAGCCAUGCCGCGUGGAGGAUGAAGGUCCUCUGGAUUGUAAACUUCUUUUAUCUGGGACGAAAAAAGGGAAUUCUUUCUCGUCUGACGGUACCAGAUGAAUAAGCACCGGCUAACUCCGUGCCAGCAGCCGCGGUAAUACGGAGGGUGCAAGCGUUAUCCGGAUUCACUGGGUUUAAAGGGUGCGUAGGCGGGUAUGUAAGUCCGUGGUGAAAUCUCCGAGCUUAACUCGGAAACUGCCAUGGGUACUGCGUAUCUUGAAUGUUGUGGAGGUGAGCUGAAUAUGUCAUGUAGCGGUGAAAUGCUUAGAUAUGACAUAGAACACCAAUUGCGAAGGCAGCUCACUACACAAAUAUUGACGCUGAGGCACGAAAGCGUGGGGAUCAAACAGGAUUAGAAACCCGGGUAGUCC
rnacentral:rRNA from 1 species